rnacentral:tRNA from 1 species
GGUAUAGCUCAAUUGGUAGAGCACUUGAUUCUGAUUCAAGAUGUUACAGGUUCGAUUCCUGUUAC